rnacentral:rRNA from 1 species
AAGUCGAGCGGAGAUGAGGUGCUUGCACCUUAUCUUAGCGGCGGACGGGUGAGUAAUGCUUAGGAAUCUGCCUAUUAGUGGGGGACAACAUUCCGAAAGGAAUGCUAAUACCGCAUACGCCCUACGGGGGAAAGCAGGGGAUCUUCGGACCUUGCGCUAAUAGAUGAGCCUAAGUCGGAUUAGCUAGUUGGUGGGGUAAAGGCCUACCAAGGCGACGAUCUGUAGCGGGUCUGAGAGGAUGAUCCGCCACACUGGGACUGAGACACGGCCCAGACUCCUACGGGAGGCAGCAGUGGGGAAUAUUGGACAAUGGGCGGAAGCCUGAUCCAGCCAUGCCGCGUGUGUGAAGAAGGCCUUUUGGUUGUAAAGCACUUUAAGCGAGGAGGAGGCUACUUAGAUUAAUACUCUAGGAUAGUGGACGUUACUCGCAGAAUAAGCACCGGCUAACUCUGUGCCAGCAGCCGCGGUAAUACAGAGGGUGCGAGCGUUAAUCGGAUUUACUGGGCGUAAAGCGUGCGUAGGCGGCUGAUUAAGUCGGAUGUGAAAUCCCUGAGCUUAACUUAGGAAUUGCAUUCGAUACUGGUCAGCUAGAGUAUGGGAGAGGAUGGUAGAAUUCCAGGUGUAGCGGUGAAAUGCGUAGAGAUCUGGAGGAAUACCGAUGGCGAAGGCAGCCAUCUGGCCUAAUACUGACGCUGAGGUACGAAAGCAUGGGGAGCAAACAGGAUUAGAUACCCUGGUAGUCCAUGCCGUAACGAUGUCU